CAUCUUUGACCCAGCAGGACCUUUUAAUGUCAUAGGGCUUGUUCAUGGCUUCAAUCCUCUCCUUUUCAGGAGGUGCCAGGAAAGGCAUAGGGUCCACAUCGUCCCCACACUCCCCUUUGUACCCACCAGGCAUGGCGGCUUGGUUGAGGAUGGAGCAGGAAGGAGCUGAGGGCAGGAACCAGGACUUCCCUGGGUGCUGUGGGGGGAAGCAGAGACAAGCUGCUGAGGCUGGUGGACAGGCUGGAGUCAAUGUCCCGAGAAAGACAGAGGCUUGCUUCUCUCAUGUCACCUUGUCUGUCUUGGUGCUAUUAGGCUUUCAUAACCAAGAAUAAGAAAGAAGCUAAUUGUUCAGCCACUGUAGAAAGCAAUUUGGAGAUUUCUCAAAGAACUUAGAACUAUUAUUCAACCCAGCCAUCCUAUUCCUGGGUAUAUACCCAAAGGGAAAAAUAAGUUUUCCUACCAAAAAGACACAUGCACCUGUAUGUUCACUGCAGUGUUAUUCACAAUGCAAAAACAUGGAAUCAACCUAGGUGGCCAUCAGUGGUGGAUUAGAUAAAGAAAAUGUGGUACAGGCCAGGUACAGUGGCUCACACCUGUAAUCCCAGCACUAUGGGAAGCCAAGGUGGAAGGACAGCUUGAGCCCAGGAGUUUGAGACCAGCCUGGGCAAUAUAUCAAGGCCCCAUGUCUACAAAAACAUUUAAAAAUUAGCUGGGCAUGGUGAUGUGUGCCUGUAGUCCUAGCUAUCCUCAGGGCUAAGGCGGGAGGAUUGCUUGAGCUGGGGAGGUCAAGGCUGCAGGAAGCCAUGAUUGUACUACUGCACUCCAGCUUAGGUGAUAGAGCAAGACCCUGUCUUAAAAAAAAAAAAAGCCAAAAAACAGAAAGAAAAUGUGGUACAUAUACACCAUGGAAUACUAUGCAGCCAUAAAAAAGAAUGAAAUCAUGUCCUUUGCAGCAACAUGGAUGCAGAUGGAGGCCAUUAUUCUAAGUGAAUUAACAUAGAAACAGAAAACCAAAUACCACAUGUGUUCACUUAUAAGUGGGAGCUAAAUAUUGGGUACAGACAGAUAGAAACAAUAGACACUGGGGACUACUAGAUGGAGGAGAGCAGGACGGAGGCAAGGAUUGAAGAAUGGCCUAUUGGAUGCUAUGCUCACCACCUGUGUGAUGGGAUCAUUUGGAUCCCAAAUCCCAGUGUCACUCACUAUACCCAUAUAACAAACCUGCACAUAUACCCCUUGAAUCUAAAAUAAAAGUUGAAGUUAUAUUUAAAAAUGAAAUAAGCUAAUAAGUCUUUACAGUUAAGUACUCCCUCACCCCCAACAACACAAAUGCUUCUGCCUCUGUCAUCUCAUAUGUUUUUCACACCAAGGCUGUGAGGUAGGGAUCAGGAAGCCCAUUUUAUGGAGGAGAACGCUGGGGCAUGGAGAGGUUAAAGGUAGGGUUUCUAACCAGGGUCUGUGAAAUGGGACAGGAAAACAAUUGCCACUUGGUUUUCACUUUCUAUCCGAUAUGAACAGAGGCCACAGACCUCCGUAGCACCACAGCCUCUAUUUGCUCCCAGCAAAAAUCAAAGCUCUUCACUUCUCGUUAGGGUGGCUGCAGAUGUCUCAAAAUACUGUUUAUCUUCAUCUCAACUUUAAAAUUAUGGUCUCUUUAAGCCCUUGGUUUGAUACUGUUCUUUAAAUUUUUUAAUAAAGAAGGACAUUUAUUAUUGCCUUACUGCCAUGUCACAAAUUAGUUUUUAAUAUAUUUUUUCUUUUCUUUUUUUUUUUUUCAGAGGCAGGGUCUUACUCCAUCACCCAUGCUGGAGUGCAGUGGUGCAAUCAUAGCUCACUGCAGCCUCUAACUUCUGGGCUCAAGCAAUCUUCCCACCUCAGUUGCACGUAUAAGCCGCUGUGCCAGGCCCUUGUAUUUUUUGUUUGUUUGUUUGUUUGUUUCUUUUUUCAGAAGGAGUUUUGCUCUUGUCACCCAGUCUGGAGUACAGUGGCAUGAUCUCAGCUCACUGCAACCUCUGCCCCUCCUGGGCUCAAGCAAUUCUCCUGCUUCAGUCUCCUGAGUAGCUGGGAUUACAGGCGCCCACCACCACACCCAGCUAAUUUGUUGUAUUUUUAGUAGAGACAGGGUUUCACCGACAUGGAGCAGAGCUUCCUACCAGUCCAUAAUGGGCAUGUAGUGUGUGCCAUAAACAAGCCUUUGUGUUUUAAGCCACUGCAAUUUGCGGGUUGUGUAUUGCAGCAGUGUAACCUGAACUAUCCUGACUGGGUCUAUAAGAAAAGUACUCAAAGCAGUGAUUCUUCUGAGCUUUGUACCAGGGGCAGCUGCCCAUCAAAACAAUGCUGGACACUAGCCUCAAACAACCAAANNNNNNNNNNNNNNNNNNNNNNNNNNNNNNNNNNNNNNNNNNNNNNCUGCCUUGGCCUCCCAAAGUGCUGGGUUUGCAGGUAUAAGCCACUGUGCCAGGCCUUUGUAUUGUUUUUUUAAUGAUGGUUCUGCCGUGAACAGCAAGCUAAGGUAUCACUGCUGUUGUGUGGGCCUGGUGGUUUAGGGCACAGGCCCCUCCAGCCAGGAGCUGCCCUGAGGGACGUGCAGGUCUCUGACACCAGGUUCCAUCCCUUUCAGUGGCUACCAGCCUCCUGCUUGCUAAUGACUC
rnacentral:lncRNA from 1 species